UACGUAGGAGGCGAGCGUUGUCCGGAAUCACUGGGCGUAAAGGGCGCGUAGGCGGCCACCGCAAGUCGACUGUGAAAUCUCUGGGCUUAACCCAGAAAGGUCAGCCGAUACUGCGGGGCUAGAGUGCAGAAGGGGCAACUGGAAUUCUCGGUGUAGCGGUGAAAUGCGUAGAUAUCGAGAGGAACACCUGCGGCGAAGGCGGGUUGCUGGGCUGACACUGACGCUGAAGCGCGAAAGCUAGGGGAGCGAACGGG
rnacentral:rRNA from 1 species